rnacentral:rRNA from 1 species
CUCUGAAACCGUCUUCGUACAAAGAGCGAGAGCCUGUAAAAGGGUGAUCGUGUUCCUAUUGAAGAAUGAGCCGGCGAGUUUGCUAUACGUCGCAAGUUUAACUUCUCGUAGAGAAGGUAGGCGCAGGGAAACCGAGUCCGAAAGGGCGACAAUAUAAGCGGCGUAUACAAGACCCGAAACCUGGUGAGCUACCCAUGGUCAGGAUGAACCCCGUAGAAAUACGGGGGGAGGUCCGCACCCGUGAGUCGUAUAACGCUCUGGGAUGAACUGUGGGUAGGGGAGAAAUUCCAAUCGAACUAGGUAAUAGCUGGUUCUCCUCGAAAUAUAUUUAGGUAUAGCCUCCUGAUCAGAUCGAGGGGGGUAGAGCACUGAAUGGGAUUGGGUGGAGAAAUCCUACCAAUUCCAAUCAAACUCCGAAUACCCUCGAGCGUUGCAGGGGAGUCAGUCCGUGGGGGCUAAGCUCCACGUGACAUAAGGGAAACAGCCCAGAUCUCAGUCUAAGGUCCCUAAGUCAUCGUUAAGUGUUAAAGGUGGUAGUUCGACUCAAACAACGAGGAGGUUGGCUUAGAAGCAGCCAUCCUUUAAAGAAAGCGUAACAGCUCACUCGUCUAGUUGGGCCGCGCCGAAAAUCCAACGGGGCUAAACGAUGCACCGAAGAUGAGGAUUGUAUCGCGCAAGUGAUACAGUGGUAGAGGAGCAUUCUGUUCUGCUGUGAAGGUGACAGCGUAAGCUGCACUGGAGCGAACAGAAGAGAGAAUGCCGGCAUGAGUAGCACAAAGCUCGGUGAGAACCCGAUCCACCGCAAGCCCAAGGUUUCCUGGGCCACGUAAAUCGACCCAGGGUGAGUCGGUCCUAAGGCGAGGCCGGAAGGCGUAGUCGAUGGACGAGCAGGUUAAUAUUCCUGCACUUCGAAGAAUAAGUGAUGGGGGGACGCGUCUCCACAUAUUGCACGUCUCUAUGGAAUGAGACGUUCCUGUUUUGAAUGGGUGCUUUAGGUAAAUCCGGAGCACAUUAACCAGACGGAAUGGGUGCAGCCAAGGCCCUUCGGGGCGGCGGCAAUGCAGUAAACGGAGGGGCCCUGAAAAACCUCUAAACGUUAUAUUUCUUCUGAAUCCGUACUACAAACCAACACAGGUGGGCGAGGCGAGUAGCCUCAGGUGUACGAGAGAAACCUUGUUGAGGAACUAGGCAAAUUAGCGGUCGUAACUUCGGGAUAAGACCUGUCCAACUUCGGUUGGACCUCAGCUAAAGACUUCAGGCGACUGUUUACCAAAAACUUAGGUCUCUGCUAAGCCGAAAGGCGAAGUAUAGGGGCUGAUGCCUGGCCAGUGCUCGAACGUUAAGGGGAGGGGUGAACGUCUCACGCAAGUGAGACUGUAGCCUUGAUCCGAAGCGCGAGUGAACGCCGGCGGUAACUCUGACCGUCCUAUGGUAGCGUAAUCCCUUGCCGGGUAAGUUCCGGCCUGCACGAAUGGCAUAACGGCUCUGAAGGCUCUCUUAACAAGGUACUCGGCGAAAUUGCAAUCAGCGUGAAGAUGCGCUUGACUCACAGCUAGACGAAAAGACCCCAUGAAGCUUUACUACAACUUGACAUUGGGUUUAUGUGUAUCAUGUUCAGAAUAGGUGGGAGCCGCAAGGCAACAGUGAGAUACCACCCUUGGCGCACAUGAAUCCUCACUCUCGUCCCUUAUCGGGAUGGAAUACAGUGUCUGGUGGGUAGUUUGACUGGGGCGGUCGCCUCAUAAAAAGUAACUGAGGCGUUUACAAAGGUUGGCUAGGUCCGGAUGGAAAUCGGACUGAUAGCGCAAACGCAUAAGCCAGCUUUACUGCAAGGGUUGCAACCCGCGCAGUUGCGAAAGCAGAAGUUAGUGAUCCGACCGUAAGUGAAAUUUGAAACGAGCAAUUGCCGUUUCAAGUUUCCACGAAUUAGGACGGCGGAAGCUCAACGGAUAAAAGCUACUCUGGGGAUAACAGGCUGAUCGGAUCCAAGCGUCCACAGCGACGAUCCGGUUUGGCACCUUAACACAUUGGGGUGCUUCGGGAGUAAUCCCGAACCAAAAAUUCGGCUUAUAACGGUGAACCCGUCUACGACAUUUUGUGGUAUACAAGAAUGAUAAUGUCGUACGGCGAUACCGUGGGAAGUCUCCGCACAUGGCGGAUGACCCCGUAACGACUGAUCCCGAAAGGGUGAGAGCUCAUCUUUUGAUAUAGAUGAGCUCAAACGCCGACGCCUGUCUGCAAAGGCAGGAUGAAGAUAUAGUCUACACCAUUGAGAAAUCAUGGAAUUAUGUACGAUGUCGGCCCAUCGCAUCCUGGGGGUGGAGAAGCUCCCAAGGGUUCGGCUGUUCGCCGAUUAAAGCGAUACGCGAGCUGGGUUCAGAACGUCGUAAGACAGUUCGGUCUCCUAUCUGCUGUGAGCGUUGAAACUUGAGGGGACUCGUCCCUAGUAUGAGAAGACCGGGAUGGACGAACCUACCGUGUACCAGUUGUUCUACCAAGGGCAUUGCUGGGUAGCGGCGUUCGGUGCGGAUAACCGCUGAAAGCAUCUAAGCGGGAAGCCGUCCCCAAGAUUAGGUUUCUUUAUAGAUCGGUCGAAGAUAACGACCUUGAUAGGCGCCAGGUGGAAGAUCCGCAAGGAUUUGAGCCGAGGCGUACUAAUAGAUCAACAAGCACACAUCU